rnacentral:rRNA from 1 species
GACGAACGCUGGCGGCGUGCCUAAUACAUGCAAGUCGAGCGAAGUUUUUCUGGUGCUUGCACUAGAAAAACUUAGCGGCGAACGGGUGAGUAACACGUAAAGAACCUGCCUCAUAGACUGGGACAACUAUUGGAAACGAUAGCUAAUACCGGAUAACAGCAUUAACUGCAUGGUUGAUGUUUAAAAGUUGGUUUUGCUAACACUAUGAGAUGGCUUUGCGGUGCAUUAGCUAGUUGGUGGGGUAAAGGCCUACCAAGGCGACGAUGCAUAGCCGACCUGAGAGGGUGAUCGGCCACACUGGGACUGAGACACGGCCCAGACUCCUACGGGAGGCAGCAGUAGGGAAUCUUCCGCAAUGGGCGAAAGCCUGACGGAGCAGCGCCGCGUGAGUGAAGAAGGAUUUCGGUUCGUAAAGCUCUGUUGUUAGGGAAGAAUGAUUGUGUAGUAACUAUACACAGUAGAGACGGUACCUAACCAGAAAGCCACGGCUAACUACGUG